UCCGCCGCGCCUCGCCCGCCCCGCUUCCUUUCUCCCCCGCUUGGCUCUCCGCUGCUCCGGGGCUCCCGGCCGAGUCCCGCUCCGCUCCCGGCCGUGCCGUGCCGCUGCUCGGCGGAGGGCGAGGGACGCUUCUCGUGGGAGCGGGAGGCGCGCGGCCCCGGAUCUCGCUUGCUAUCGGGCUUCCCCGCGGGAGCGGAGCUGCGGCGGGCGGGGAUGAGCGGCAGCGCCGGGGGGUCGGGCGGUGCCGCGCCGCGCUCCCGGCAGCCGGCCGGGGUCACGGGGGGUCAGCGGCCGGCAGCCCCGGCUCGCCGCUUCGGCCCGUCGAGCGGUCCCUCGAUGCCGAAGGAAACGACAUAGCGCUUUUCUGGAUCGCACGCUUCCUGAAGUGCUGCUGAUCCCUUUUUAGGGUGCCGGUAGGGCUCUUCCUCCCGCUGAGGAAGGGUAUUGUCUGAAUGCCGAAGCCUGAAGCUUUCUGUGCCUGUUGCUGCUGAAGGCUGACGCUCAGCGGUGUGCCGGGCUGGCGUUCUCUGUUGGGAAGUGCCGCUUUGGCCUGGGACGAGGCCGGGUCUCGGCUGGGGCUGCCUGGUGCUGCGUCCUCGUCCAGGGCUCCUGCCUUAGAUUGGGUGCUCCACAUCGUAGCAGCAAACGUAGCUCUGGUGGCAGUGUGGUGUCAGGGCUAGGUGGGUUUCACAUCCAGAGCUCUGAGUAACUGUAACUCUUAGUUUCUAUGGCAGUCUUUAUUGAAAAGCUCAAAGAAGAGCAUUAUUUCCAGGGUGGUCUGGUAGAACCCAUAUCACUUAUUCUGUGAGAAUAUGGACCUUGACCCUGGGAAAUGUGUAUCUGAGUCAGGAAUGAAAUCAGGAUCUCUGGCUCCUAGGCUGUAACUCUCUAGUUAAGAGAUAAAAAUAAAAAAAAUCCCACUCCAUGUAGCAUUGGAUCCUAAAAAUAAAUCCAACCAUGUGGAAUGAUAAUGAGCCAGAUUGCCAGCUUGUGCCAAUCAGCAGAUUUGGUUCCGUAGGGUCUGCUUGGUGCCCAUUCCUGCAGCGGGUUCUGGGAGGAGGUCAGGCUGCUGUCAGUGUGUGGGGAAAGUGUCUGCAACCAGGGCUCAUGUCUGGAAGAUAACUUGUGUGUGUUCUUCAGUGGUAGUCAGGAGGAGGUGAUGUGUGUUGGACAGGUGUUGGAGGCAUGGAGAACCUAGAAGCAUGUUCUUUGUUAAGAUGCAGUGCUAUAGAGUUCUUCAGGGUGGUAACUGACUUCUCUGUGUAGCAGAGAUGGGGGUCAGAUGACCGCUGGAUCCAUACUGCAGCCCUCAGAGUUGUCAUUGUUUGUGGAUUUGCUGUCUGGAGGGUAGUGAGAAUAUGGGGGGAGGGGGCUGGAGUCGUGCAGCCCUCAGCUCCAGAGCCAGCAGGCACACUGCAGGACGCAAUGGGCUGUGCCUGCAGCGUGGCCCCGGCUGUGGAGCAGGCAGUCAGCUGCUGGCUGAGCUGCCUUGGCCUUUGCAGCUGUGGGUGGAUUGGCAGUUGGGAGCUCAGCUGCCAGAUCUGCAUAUGAACAUAAGAGUCCAUGGACCUGCUGACUGCUUAGUUCAGGGUUUUCACCUGCAGCUCCAAGCUCCAACCUACUGUGCUGUGCAUGGAGACCUGCUGCUCCAUGAGCUCGCUCUGAGCUCUGUGUGCUUUUAAUAGAUAACUAAUAACUGCUGAGCGCUCACAAGAACUCAUUAUUUGUGUGCUGUUGGAGCCCAGCUCCUUGUAGCUGGAAGAGAGCUACUUGCUGGGCCUAGAGGUGCUGUUUGUGUCCAUUUGCAGGGCCUCAGUGGUGCUCUGUGCAACCUGCAAAACAGUCUCAAAUGUUUUUAAUGGAUUGAGGAGGCAUAAUUGGAUUCAGCGCAGUGCAAGUUACAGUAACAUAUGUGAGCUGGAAGGAUUAAGGCUGUGCAGGCUGGUGGCCUUGUUCAAGAAAAAUCCACUUUAAUUUCUGCAGUGGAAAGUUGUCAGUGUGUUUUCUGUCAGAGCAGAUUUAAAAAGGGAGGGGAGAAAUACUGAGUAUAAUUGUGGUUUGCUUUGGAAGGAGAUUAGUGUUCAGGCUAUUGGAUCAAGUGAAGGUUGUACUGGGACUUGGGACAGCAGCAGUGAACUCAGGUCCCUCUGGUACAGCUCCCAGAAGGUGCUGUUCCUCUGCUCCUGCUCUGUACCUCGUGGUACAGUGAGAGAGGACAGCAGUGCCAGACUGUUGGAAGUAAACUGUCCUUAACAAAGUGGAAGUCAAAACUAUUUGUGGCUAUGCUAGUUGGUGAGAGCGGGCAUGCUGGUGCUGUCUGCAUCAAUUCCUUUUGCAGCAUUAAUGAAUUAUCGGGUGCAUGGUGCCCGAUGAUGAGCAUGCUGAGUGAACCUUUUGUCCUCUGGAGCAGCAGUAGGCAAAGGGAGUGAUUACUCCCGAACUGAAGUUUGGGUCUGAGCUCAGCCCUCUGCAUCUCUGCCCUGGGAUAGUACUGGGCAGUACCAGCAGUUCUGUACUGCAGCAUGGACUGACAGUUUCACUGUCUGGGGUAGGUGAUGAGCAGCCCUGGGGUGAUGGUCCUCACCUGCAGGUGGUACUGAAGCAGAAAUGUAGUAGGGAAGUUUAUCUCAGGGUAUGCUGCUAUAGUGACCUGGAACAUGCGAGCCAGGAAAGGCACAGAUUGACCCAGGGCUGUGUAACUGUGAGCUUAUGCAGGGACUUGAGUGCAGCACUGUGUUGUUGCUCUCUGAGCUGCUGGACUUUACUGAAGGUCUGAAACUUGAGCAAGUGACUGCUGGACAGGGCUGGAGAGGGAAAUGCACUCAACAUGCCAUUUCCCACCCAGGAGAGUAAGUGGAAUUGCCCCUGAAGGUUAUUCCAGCUUCUGUAGGAGAUAGGACUGGCUACCUUCUGCCAGGUCUCCCUGCAGCAUUUGGGUAUUCUGGAGGAAGAUAACAUCAGUUCGGAUUUUUUCCUGCCCUGCCAGGCCCCUUGCUUGGUCUCACAAUGUGAAAUCCCUAUGUAAGCAUACCAGGAUGCAGGAAGGAUGUCUGACACCUGCAUGAGUUGAAGUGCUACAGCCUGCACGUGGCGGCUCCCCCUUAGUAGAGGGUGCAUGCAGGAACUUGAUUAUCCUCAUUGCCAUACAGAUCCCAGGAGUUAAGCUUGUCACCUCUCCUUGCAACAGCAGAAAAGAUUUUAAAAAAUCUCUUUGCAGUGGACUUACCAGAAACGGGCUGUAGCUUGCUCCAUCAGACAGCAGUGCUUGAAGAGAAACAGUAUAAGGAUACAUAAAUUUAAAUUACCUCUAGUAUGUACAUGAAGGACAUGCUGACUGUCUGUCUUGUACAUCCUAUUUAGUAUUCUUCAUUAAGAAGUUCAGGUUUCAUUUCAGUGAUUUUUUCUUUUAAGCCUAAUUGUAAGAGAUCAAAGCUUAAGUGACUGUGUUGUGCCUCCAGUUUGAGGCUGACCAAGAAACUCCAGCGAUGAGUGUUUCAAAGGUAAAUUCUUAGUUGUGUGAGCCUGUCAGAGUGUAAAAUUAAAGCAAAGACUAGAAGUUGAGUAUGACUUCCUACUGAUGCUGUUGCAGUGCAGGGUGACACUUAAUGAAAGUUGAGAGGUAUUUAAAAAUUGAUAAAAGGGAAUUUUCAAUGGGAGUUGUUGUCUUAAGGUUAGUCAAACUUCUGAGGAAGUUAUUUGCAUUAUUUCUUACAUUCUGGGUGCAACUGAGGUUCUAACUGAACAUAGCCCACGUGAGGUGUUGCUGAGCUGCAGAUGAUCCCAAACGUCCUAGCCAGGGUGGGAGUAUGUAUGGUUGCAUUCCAUUCAGACUCAAAGUGAGAAAUUAGUGUGGAUAUUCAAUCUCUCUUUAGCCUUAUGAAUAAGGUAACUGCUGAUGUCUGAAGCUUGAGAAAAUGUCCUGGGCAUGGCAGAGUUGUCUCUGUGGGGUUUGUGAGCCCUCCUAUGAAGGUGCUGGUGAGGAGCUGCUGUGCUGCCUGGCUGCUGCAGCUGCUUCUGCCAGGGCAGUGUGCAUGAGAGCAGCCUGGGUGCCAGCACACUGCUGUGCAGCCGCUCUCCCUGACACUGGAAGGUUGCUUUGGUCCCUGUUUUGUUAGGAAGCCUUCUCUUUCUUGUUUGAACCCUGAGGCUUUUCUCAGUCCCUCAGCUUGGCCUAAACAUAGGGUCUCAAGCCACAAUGGUUUUGUCCAGGAACUUUUCCAGGUUUUUGUGCUCUCUAUUGAAAGACUACCAGCGCUUUCUUGCCCGACCUGCCACUCUAGUAACAAUCUUGGACUCAGGCUUUUGGCCUCUUAGCACUGCUGGUCAGAGCAAAGCAAGCUCCCUGGUAGCUGGUGUAAUGCCCCAGCCCCACACAGUGUGUGGGGUGACUGUCCUGAGAAAAGGCAGCUUUGGGAAGAGGGUGCUGGUGAUGCAGAGCUCAGGAACUUCCCUGAGUGCCUGAGCAGCUGCUUGUCCUGUUCACUUGGGAGAAGAGUGAUAGGCAGUGCUUGUGCAUCCAGAGCUCUGGUGCUGGACAAAGUAGCUGCUGGGAUCCAAAAGCAUUGACUUUUAGUGACCUUUCAGUUUGCAGUGUGCCAAGAGCAAGGCCUCGAGCAGGGAAAUCCCAGGUAGCAGGCAGUGCAGAGGUGUAACCUGCAGCCUGUUGCCUCAGCCACAGUGCUGCUGCUGUUGGCCUUGGAUUUGCAGUUGGCACCAGGCUCCAAUGUUUGCAUCUCACUGACACACUGAAAUCUUCUAGGGCAUUCUGGAGGCUGCCACUGCUAAUAGUGAUGUUAUGCCAUACUUUAGCCUUUAUCACUCCUCUGUUAACUUGCUUACUAGAGACAAGUGCUCCAAAAAGCUCUAUAUUGCUGAGGGGAGGCUGCUGACAUAGGCUGGUGCAGUUUUGCUCUUGCAGUUCCUCGAAUUCUUCCUUGAAUCAAAACAAGGCAUCAGCUUUAGGGGAAAAAAAAAAAGGGAGCCAGGUCAUUUUUAAGUGCAAGCAUCCAGCCUGCUGAGCAGUAGUGGUGUGAGGGCUGGGGACCUAGUGCCUGGAAGCAGCUCAUGGCUGCCAGCAGAUGCACCAGUGUGAGGGCAUGAGUAGUUGCUGCAUUGGCUGUCCCUGGAGAUGUGGGGAUGCACAGUGCUGCCCUGCCUGCUCCCUGCCCGGGCCGGGUGGCCGUGUCAGCAGGGCUGGGGCCACAGCAGGAUGUGGCUUUCUGACUGCAGCCCAUUUGCAGCAGGCCCAGGGCAAGGUGAGGAGCUGGGUAGCCUCCCCUGACCAGUGGGAGCCACAACACCGGCCCCCCACCCUGCUGCUAUUCUGCUUGGCUCAGUUGGCUUACCUGGAGAGAAGGCUGCUGUCUGUGCAGAGGAACCCCUUCCUAACCUGUCCUGGGUGACAUAGAUGAGUGUGCGCCUGUCGCCUUGCCUCUUCAGAGUGCUGUACUUUGUGCUGUAGAGCUGGGGCCACUGAGCCUCUCUCCUUCCAUCAGGACAGAAUGGGGCCAGCCAUUUAGGCUGCUGGUGUUGUGACAGCAGCAAACUUUGAAGAGCUGUCUGCUUUCUUCUUGAACUGCUAUUUGUGUGCUUACCUUUGAUUUUUUUUUUUUUUUCCCCUGUUUUUUAAGGUCUUUGAAUAUUCAGGCUGCUGGGAGAGGCAGCUCUCAAAAUAACUUCAGAGACUGGUUAUCUCCAAAGUUAUUGUUUCUGUUUUUCUGAGAUUCUUCCCUUUUGUUGGUAAUGUCUUUCUACUGCAGCAAGGUCUGGCUCACACUAAAUCAUGCGUUCUGCUCUCUUCUAGCUCUUGAUCUCCUAGCAAACAUGAUUGGGUAUGGGUGAUGGCAGGCGUUCUCACAGCCAGCGGAUGUGAUUGCAGCUCUGCUGAGUGAGAUUAUGUGCCAGCAACACUGAAGCCAUUCUGAAGAAUGAAGUAACUGUUCUGGAGGGGUAAAGCAGUAGUUUGUGAAGUGUGGUACCCCUCAGAGGCUGUCCUGCAGGUGGAAGCAUGGAGGUUUGUGUCCCUCUGCAGCUUGAGCCAAGGGUGUCCGCAGGUGGCAGGUGACUAAGGCCUGGAAGCAUCACAGGACAGCUUGCUUUAAUGUCAGUGACAUGUGUUGCUGUUAAGGCCUUGAGUCAGGUCCUGCUUUUGCAAGUGAAGUAAUGUCACCGAGCUGAGGUAGGAGCUGAUAAGUGUUGUGUACAGCAACUCACUUGGGUAGAUUUAUAGCUCAGAACUGCUUCAGCUGUAGUUGUGAAGGGUGCCUGUUAAAUGUGUUUUAUGAUAAUUCUUAUGGUGUGAUGAUUUUUCAGCAUCACUUUAAGCUGACUUGGAGUUCUUGCCAGCUGUGCCUCUUAUCACAAAACAGCUGCCAUCCUGAUGACUGCCCAGCCUCUGCGUGCCACAAGUCAGCCAGUGCUAGGACUGCGCACUCUGUUUUUCCUGCCAAGAGUGACAGGCCUCUCCUUCCCACUGAAUCACACAGGAAUAGAGUAGGUCUGCUCAGCACAGUGUUACCCUUGAAGGCUGGUGGUGAGCAUGGUCAGUAUUGCUGUGCUCCAGCUGCUGUGUUGGGUGCAAAUGUUCUCACUUCAGCUAGCCUGAGUUUGUCCUGUAGCUUACACCUUCAAGCUUGCUGUCUCUGAAAGUAAACCAAGCAUAUAACUUGCUGCAGUGUUUAGGCUACCUGAGAAAUGUGACUGGCUGAAUUUAUAGACAAGUAGAGGUGCUUGUGGCUUAAAGUAGCACACUGCAAACUGCCAUUCUGCCCUAAGGGCUCCCCAGUAGCUUUGUGCUGCUCCAGUCUCUGGGACCGGAGCAAGUUUUUCCUGGUUAGCAUAUGCUGUAAGAGGGAGUGGGGAUCAGUUAGGGAAUGCUCCUGACUUAAAUUGUUUUGGCUUUGCUGGGAGCACGUUCACUUACAGUAGUGGAGAUUGGUUCUGUGUGUCUCUUACUGCUUCGAAAGUUGAAAGCAAUGUAAUGUGGAUGCCUAGAAGGUGCAAAGCUCUUUCACAGCCAUUUCAAAUCCCAGGUCUGUGCCAUCCUUGAAGGUAGUCUUAGCUGUCAUGAUUCAUUGCAUGGGUUGGCAGCCUUGGGUUGGUUUCUUUUGUGUGUUGCCCCCACAUGUGUGUGCUAAUUAUAACCAGCUGAAAGGCACUUGAGAAGAUUUGCUGAGGAAUAAUGGACUGAGAAGCCUCUGAAGUGUGUGGGCAGGCUACAAUGGAAAGGAGAACUCAAUGUGAGGGAAGAGGGGAAAAAUGGUGUCUCAGAGCCAGGCUGUGCUCAGUGUUCUUAGAACUGGGAAAGGUGCUAAUGAUAUCAUGGAUCUUUCAGUCUACAAGGACUUCUUAUUUACAGUCAUGGUUUGGGGGUUUUAGGUUCACCUGGCAAACUAUAAGAAAGAUUUUCUUUGUUGGAAAGAUGUGCUUUCUCUAACAGCUUCUCUUAUUUCUGUCAAUUACUAUGGCUCCAACCACAAAAGAGCUUUCUUGUUCUAAUUGGCCUCCUCCUGUUCUGAUUCCGUUGUGUUGCUCUGUUGCCAUGGAGACGAUCGUGAUGUCACAUGCUAUGGCAUCACUGACAAGAGGCUGGGAGGCAGUUGUUAAUGUUCACCCUGGCCCCAGUAGUCAAUAGGUGAGAGGAGAGUGCUCCAUAGAACUCAGGAAUGAUACACAGCUUUUAAACAAGGCCAGGCUGCUGUUGCUUCAGGAGAGACACGAUGGAAGAGUCUUCCAAGAAGCAAUUGCCCAGUUCAGAAGGAGAGGAUGAGGAUCACAGCAUGCCUGGCUGCUUUGAGGGUCAGAGCAGCCCUCCAGGUUAACACUCUGAAAGUGAAGCUCUUUUGCCUGAAGUCAGUGGGUGUUGCCCAAGGCCCUGCGAGCAGCAGGAAAAAACACCACCCUGGUCCAGAUACUGAAAGUUGUCAACUGAUGGGACAAAGAGCUGAGACACUUGGCUGUACUAGGACACUAAAACAUAGGGCUUAGCCAAAAAGAGUUCCCCCAGCGUGGAGACUUACACCUGCCAAACCUUGUAGCAGUCUUGGGAGGCUUUUCUGUACCUCUUCUCCAUUACUAGCCUUUCACACAUCAUGGUAUUUCUUUUAACUCCUUUUGCAAGCUAGCUCUGGCUCUGCCUUCUGCUUCCCAUUAUGCUUUGGUUUGGGUUACUCAGUAUGAGCUGCUGGCUAUAGGCUGUUUCUACAUUUCUGCCUCCAGCUUCUGGUUGGAGGCUCCUCUUGGAUGUUGUGACUGACCUGCUUUUUCUUUCUUUUACUGUAUCUCUUUCUGUCUGCUUCUUCUAUUCUUCAUUCUCCUCACCUCCAUCA